AACGAACGCUGGCGGCAGGCCUAAAACAUGCAAGUCGAACGAUGUAGCAAUACAUAGUGGCGCACGGGUGCGUAACGCGUGGGAACAUACCUCCAGGUGCGGAACAACGUCUGGAAACGGACGCUAAUACCGCAUAAUAUCUACGGAUCAAAGAUUUAUCGCCUAGAGAUUGGCCCGCGUCUGAUUAGCUAGUUGGUGAGGUAAUGGCUCACCAAGGCUACGAUCAGUAGCUGGUCUGAGAGGAUGAUCAGCCACACUGGGACUGAGACACGGCCCAGACUCCUACGGGAGGCAGCAGUUAGGAAUAUUGGACAAUGGGCGAAAGCCUGAUCCAGCCAUGCCGCGUGUGUGAAGAAGGCCUUAGGGUUGUAAAGCACUUUCGUCUGUGAAGAUAAUGACAGUAGCAGAAGAAGAAGCUCCGGCUAAAUUCGUGCCAGCAGCCGCGGUAAU
rnacentral:rRNA from 1 species